GGGCUUGUGGUUUAGUGGUAUAAUACUCCCUUAGCACCGACGACCAACCUUACGAUGCCUAUCCAGGUGUUGUUCGGGUCCGUCUAAGCCUGGGAGUGGUCCGGGGUUCGAUUCCCCGCGAGUCCA